UACUAGUGUUAGUGAUGGAUCGGUCGAUUCGUGCUUCGAUGAAGAACGCAGCCAGCUGCGUUAUAUACUUCGAAUUGCAGACGCUAUGAGAAGUAAACUUUCGAACGCAUAGCGCCGCGGUGGCUUCCAAGCCUCGUGGCACGUUUGGUUCAGGGUU
rnacentral:rRNA from 1 species